rnacentral:rRNA from 1 species
UACGGAGUGUGCAAGCGUUACUCGGAAUCACUGGGCUUAAAGGGCGCGUAGGCGGGUUCGCAAGUCAGGGGUGAAAUCUUUCAGCUUAACUGGAAAACAGCCCCUGAUACUGCGAGUCUCGAGGGAGGUAGGGGCAUGUGGAACUUCCGGUGGAGCGGUGAAAUGCGUAGAUAUCGGAAGGAACGCCGGUGGCGAAAGCGACGUGCUGGACCUCUUCUGACGCUGAGGCGCGAAAGCUAGGGGAGCAAACGGG